CGUACCUUGCUUUCCACCGCGUGGGUCGGGGAAUAGGAGUCCCCCCCUUUCUCUAUCCAUCCCGGCGGCCCGACAGCUCCGCCUCGCCCGCCGUGGCCGCCCCGAGCUUUUCCGGUCCCCGUCCAGGUCCCCAGUAAAAGCUUCCGCAUGCGGCAUCUCCUCCUCCCAGCACCUCGCCAACGCCAGGCAUCUCUUCCCGCUCCCGCUGCCCAAGCCCUGAGCCCCAGCGCAAGCUCCGGUCCCCAGAUCCCCGCUCUGCCCAUGGCGGCGCGGACGCAGGCGUGGCAGUUCGCGGCCGCCUUGGUCUUCUUCCACGGCUCCGAGUACGUCCUCGCCGCCGCCUUCCACGGCCACAGCAACGUCACCGCCACCUCACUUCUUAUCAGCAAGCAGUAUGUUUUGGCAAUGAGUUUUGCGAUGGUGGAACACCUGACAGAAAGCCUUUUCUUCCCAGAAAUAAAAGGGUAUCUGUUUGUCAGUAAUAUUGGCCUUCUGAUGGUGCUUGUUGGUGAAAUUAUUCGUAAAAUUGCUGUUGUAACAGCUGGACGUGCCUUUACACAUGUUAUACGGAUUCAGUAUGAAGACCAGCAUCAGUUGGUAACUCAUGGAAUUUAUAGAUUUAUGCGGCAUCCUGGGUAUUCAGGCUUUCUUCUAUGGGCAGUUGGAACGCAGGUUAUGCUGUGCAAUCCAGUAUCUACAGUUGUAUUUACAUUGGUGUUGUGGCGUUUCUUUGCAAGGCGGAUACCGUAUCCUUCUAAAAGAACCGUAUUUCUACCUCUAUAUCCUAGGCUCCCCAUUUUCAGAAUGUGCCCAAUUAAUGUGAAUAUUUCAUAUAAGAGUUAAGUAUAUUAUUUUGUGUGCUUCUUCUACAGUUUUUAUUGUGAUCCCUUCACUCAAGAGCAGAUAUGAAGAAUUUUUCUUGAGGCAAUUUUUUGGCUCUCAAUAUGAAGAAUAUGCACGGAAAGUGCACUCGGGGUUACCAUUUAUAAACUGAGUGUUUCAAUUUUGCAAAGCAACGCUUACCCCCUGCUGUCCUCAUCAUUGAUAUGUCUAAGGAAAGCACUUUACAACAUGGACUCGAGAGAUGCCAAACGAGCAAGCUAUGUCAUGGAUUUUAUACAAUACAAUACAAAUCUGGAAUUUCAUGAAGCGGAAGAGUCAUUCCUCAGCUCAUCAAUCUGGGGUGGAUGCUAAGAACUGUUGCUGAUGUAAAUGGGUUCGCUUACAGCUAAGUUUUGUGGAAGCUCUGUCAUUCAUUAGAUUCGAACUGAAUAGUUUCCACUUUUUCUGGAGAACGUCGAACAUUUCCAGUAGGUUCGCUGUGUGAAAGCCUUUGUAGUACAACUGUAUCAAGUGUGCCUAAACAUAUAUGCUCCACCAUGCUUUGCUCCUGGGCUUGCAGAAGAAAAGAAACUCCCAGUUUGUUCCAUGGAAUCUGAAAAUCACUGCAGAGCUGCAGUUCUUU